CGUAGGGUGCGAGCGUUGUCCGGAAUUACUGGGCGUAAAGAGCACGUAGGCGGAUAGGCAAGUCAGAUGUGAAAUCCCGGAGCUCAACUCCGGAACUGCAUUUGAUACUGCCUGUCUUGAGUGAGGUAGAGGGGAGUGGAAUUCCCGGUGUAGAGGUGAAAUUCGUAGAUAUCGGGAGGAACACCAGAGGCGAAGGCGACUCCCUGGGCCUCUACUGACGCUGAGGUGCGAAAGCGUGGGGAGCAAACAGGAUUAGAUACCCU
rnacentral:rRNA from 1 species